rnacentral:rRNA from 1 species
UACGGGGGGGGGCAAGCGUUGUUCGGAAUUACUGGGCGUAAAGGGCUCGUAGGUGGCCAACUAAGUCAGACGUGAAAUCCCUCGGCUUAACCGGGGAACUGCGUCUGAUACUGGAUGGCUUGAGUUUGGGAGAGGGAUGCGGAAUUCCAGGUGUAGCGGUGAAAUGCGUAGAUAUCGGGAGGAACACCGGUGGCGAAGGCGGUUCUCUGGGCCUGUACUGACGCUGAGGAGCGAAAGCGUGGGGAGCGAACAGG